rnacentral:rRNA from 1 species
UGCCAGCCGCCGCGGUAAGACGGAGGGUGCAAACGUUGUUCGGAAUCACUGGGCAUAAAGAGCAUGUAGGCGGUUCGCUAAGUCAUGUGUGAAAGCCCUCGGCUCAACCGAGGAAUUGCACCUGAUACUGGCGAGCUUGAGGAUGGUCGGGGUGAGUGGAACUCCAGGUGGAGCGGUGAAAUGCGUAGAUAUCUGGAGGAACACCGGUGGCGAAAGCGGCCUUCUGGACUGAUACUGACACUGAGGUGCGAAAGCGUGGGGAGCGAACAGGAUUAGAUA